rnacentral:lncRNA from 1 species
AGGAGCCUGGUGGAGUCGGCCACAGAGGAAAGGGUUUAAUUCAUCCUCGCUACGUUUCCCACACAUGCUGGGGAGUACCAUACACGCCAGCAUUGCACUGGCUUCUCCUGGGUUGACCAGAAGUUUCUGUUGUGCCUGGUGUGGGCAGUUGUAAAUUACAGGCUUUGAGUCAGAAGAAACCUUAAGCCCACCUGAUGCUCUCGGCUCCGACUGUGCUCAGGCUCUGGCUCAGCAGCCUGUGCUCCCCGGCGUGUCCCCGCCUCACUUCGUCUAGGGGGUUGCUCUCCUGGAGGGCAAGGAGGCUGCAGUGUCACGGCUGCACCUCCCCGCACGAUUCGGCAGGACGUGCCCAGACGGCAGGACUGAAUUUUCCUGUUGUGGCAAAAUUAAAUUCUGAGCAAGUGUUAUAGGAGGAGUUUUGUCUGUAAACGUUUAUUCAAGAGGCAAAGGUAGCCUUUCUGGCUGAAAACUAGAAACUCAUUCUAUUUAACUAAUGUGUAGUUUGCGGGGAGGUGGGAUUUAGAUGUAUUUAAACCCCACCCCUGAACUAUUGUGAGCUUUCUAGUGUGUGAAGCCAAGAUACCGAACAAGUCGGCAAGAGACAAAAACGGGGAGAUGCCAGGACGAGCAUCCGUUCUGCUCCGCAGUGGCCCGGGGGCCGGUGUUCCCGCAGACACCAGCAGCUGAUCCGCGCACAGAACAGGACCCCGGCCACGGUGAGGAAGAGAGAACGCGCACGCUUCAGAUCUCUGGUCGGUAGGUGGCUGGAACGCCAGGUGUGGGGCGGGCGCUGCAGAGCCUCCCACGCGGCACAGGCUUCUGCCUGCUUUUCAACCACGGCUUUGCUGCUUUGACAUUUCUGGAAUCAAGGUGCACCUCAUAAGCAACACCAACGAAAAUCAAGUAGGGACGAGGACACACAUUUCUACUUCUCGUCUCUGUGCCUUUGACCUUCCCAUCCCUCAUGCUUCUCCAGCUUUGUGGCUCCCCACAGGGCUGUGUUUAUUCUGUGAUCACUGCCCAUUUUGGAGGUCACAAGCUCUGGAGCUUACAGGAACUGGGCAGGACAUUAAAAAGCAGCGUGUGGGGAGUGCUGUGGGGAACUCACGGGCCCUGUCCCAUGGAAAAUAUUCAAGUUCAAACGUUAGUAGAACAUCACGAGGGUCAAACAAAAUACGCCUGCAGGCAGGACCUCUGAUUUAUGUUAGCGCUGGGUGUCUCCGCCUACCCACAAGGCAGCGCCAGAACCACCGCCUGGCUCUUAGCACAAAAUCUGCUCAUAAGUGGAUGCUUAGGGAGUGUUUGUUGAACUGAACAGAGGUGAAUUAUAGGCUAUUACCCCAAGACUCUGAAAUAGUAGACAUGUUCUGUGAAAACCUAGGGGACCUUUUUCCAAAUCGGGGGCCGAUUAAUUCAGCUGUUGGAGGCUCUGGCCCCCAUGCAGACUGAAGCCUCGGUUCAGGGCCAGCGGAUGGCAGAGGUGCGGCAGGGUCAGAGCUGCGAUCCCUGCAGAUCCUUCAGCACUGGAGGAGAAACAGCCAAAGGGCAGGCGUGGCCCAGAGCCAGCGGCAGCUCUCCUGCACCAGCCUGGGCAGAGACGGCAUGAACAGAGAGUAAAGUGUUAAGUCCAGGGAUGCUUCCCCCAACAUUAUUUGAUGGUCUCUUUCUUAAGAAAACAAAGGAAGCAACAAUGUUUCAACGUGCCUCUUCAGGUAUCCUCAGUGAUUUAUAUUAAAAACCAGAGCCUUUAGAAACAUCUUGAAAUCACACUCUCCAGACUCACCCCAAAAUACCCAACAGUGAAGGAGGACUUACUGUCCCACUAGAAUGGGCACUUUCUCUGGAGGGAGGAGAAGGUUGUCUAAAGACACUAACAGUAGGUGGGGCUUGUCUAGGCCUGUGGGGGACGGGGCAUGGUGGGGGUGUGGGGAGGGACCGCCUUCCACCAGAAAGGAUGAAAUGAGCUGGAUUUUCAUGUCAUAAACAGAUUUACUCUCCAUGUCCUGAUGUGUAUAAACCUUUAAAAAGACUCUAGAAAUGCUAUAAUAUUCAGAGCAUUCUCUCUGGAUGGUGAGACUAUAAUUUUUUCUUACUUAUUUUUAAUAUAAUUUCAGUUGUCUUCAAUAUAUAAAUAUUACUUUUAGAAUGUAGGAAAUAAGUGUAAU